rnacentral:rRNA from 1 species
CACGGAAUUAGCCGGUCCUUAUUCGAAAGGUAAAUGCAAAAAGCACACGUGCCUUCAUUUACUCCCUAACAAAAGCAGUUUACAACCCAUAGGGCCGUCAUCCUGCACGCUACUUGGCUGGUUCAGACUUACGUCCAUUGACCAAUAUUCCUCACUGCUGCCUCCCGUAGGAGUUUGGACCGUGUCUCAGUUCCAAUGUGGGGGACCUUCCUCUCAGAACCCCUACUGAUCCGUAGCCUUGGUGAGCCGUUACCUCACCAACAAGCUAAUCAGACGCAUCCCCAUCCUUUACCGAUAAAUCUUUGGUUCAAAUCAGAUGCCAUCAAUGAACAACAUCGGGUAUUAGGCCGUCUUUCAACGGGGUAUCCCCAAGUAAAGGGCAGGUUGGAUACGCGAUACUCACCCGUGCGCCGGUCGACGUCCAAAAUGUGCAAGCACAUAAUGCCGUUUCCCCUCGACUUGCAUGUGUUAAGCCUAUAGCUAGCGUUCAUCCUGAGCCAGAUCAAACUCU